rnacentral:rRNA from 1 species
AUUGAACGCUGGCGGCAUGCCUUACACAUGCAAGUCGAACGGUAACAGGUCUUCGGAUGCUGACGAGUGGCGAACGGGUGAGUAAUACAUCGGAACGUGCCUAGUAGUGGGGGAUAACUACUCGAAAGAGUGGCUAAUACCGCAUGAGAUCUACGGAUGAAAGCAGGGGAUGGCAAGACCUUGUGCUACUAGAGCGGCCGAUGGCAGAUUAGGUAGUUGGUGGGAUAAAAGCUUACCAAGCCGACGAUCUGUAGCUGGUCUGAGAGGACGAUCAGCCACACUGGGACUGAGACACGGCCCAGACUCCUACGGGAGGCAGCAGUGGGGAAUUUUGGACAAUGGGCGCAAGCCUGAUCCAGCAAUGCCGCGUGCCGGAUGAAGGCUUUCGGGUUGUAAACUGCUUUUGUACGGAACGAAAAGCCCUGGGUUAAUACCCUGGGGUCAUGACGGUACCGUAAGAAUAAGCACCGGCUAACUACGUGCCAGCAGCCGCCGUAAUAC